UAAGAGAGUUAGCUAAGGAGGUAUUGGAGGCGAGAGCUAGUAGCGGAAAGGCAACACAAAGGGCUGGUCGGGUUGAGAAGCUGAUAAAAUGGCUUAUCUCGUCUAUGGGCUGGUUUAAAUUAAAUACUGAUGGGGUAUUUUAUGGCAAUUCGAGACUCGCGGCUGGUGGUGGUCUGAUACGUAAUGAGGAGGGUGAAUGGUGUGGAGGCUAUGCGCUAAACAUAAGGAUGCUUAUUUUAUGGCCUAUCUACCAACUUGACAUUAAGAAUGCUUAUUUACAACGUAUGAGACCGUUUGCCUGUUUUCAUCCCCAUAUUUGUGGUAAAUGGUGGUUGAGAUUUUGAAGACAAGGUUAUGGGACUCUCAUCUGCUAUCAUUUCCAGUACGUUUGCGCUAUAGUUUUUUAUCGAAAAACUAGAUUGACCGUGUUUCACAUAUAGAGAGGCUAAUCAUUUUACGGACAUGUUAACAAACUAUGCUUGUCUUUAAGCUUUUAUGCUCUUGUUUAUGUUCUCCGGUGUGCGGAUGAAAUCUUACGGGAUGAUGUUUCUAG
rnacentral:sRNA from 1 species